rnacentral:rRNA from 1 species
GACGAACGCUGGCGGCGUGCUUAACACAUGCAAGUCGAACGAAGUGGCGAACGGGUGAGUAACGCGUAAUCAACCUGCCCUUCAGAGGGGGACAACAGUUGGAAACGACUGCUAAUACCGCAUACUGAAGGAGGGGAGUGCGUCUGAUUAGCGAGUUGGAGGGGUAACGGCCCACCAAGGCGAUGAUAGGUAGCCGGUCUGAGAGGAUGUACGGCCACAUUGGGACUGAGACACUGCCCAGACUCCUACGGGAGGCAGCAGUGGGGAAUCUUCCUCAAUGGACGAAAGUCUGACGAAGCAACGCCGCGUGGUUGAUGACGGCCUUCGGGGUGUAAAGCUCUGUUAAUCGGGACGCGGUACCGGGAUAGAAAGCCACGGCUAACUACGUGCCAGCAGCCGCGGUAAUUC